GUCUACAGCCAUGCCACCCUGAACAAUCCCGAUGCCCUCUGAUCUCGGAAGCUAAGCAGGGUUGGGCCUGGUUAGUACUUGGAUGGGAGACCACCUAGGAAGACCGGGUGCUGUAGGCG
rnacentral:rRNA from 1 species